rnacentral:rRNA from 1 species
CAUUCUAUGGAUCUCAACCCUCACCAUUAUCCACAAACACCUGUGCACUGUUGGUUAGAUGGAGACUUGCAAAGGUCUUUUCAUCUGCCAGCGCCAAAUAUACACAAACUCUGAGUUAAUUGAAUGUGAAGUUAUACUUGUCAAUUUUGACAGAAUUAAACAUAACUUUCGACAACGGAUCUCUUGGUUCUCCCAUCGAUGAAGAACGCAGCGAAACGCGAUAGGUAAUGUGAAUUGCAGAAUUCAGUGAAUCAUCGAAUCUUUGAACGCACCUUGCGCUCCUUGGUAUUCCGAGGAGCAUGCCUGUUUGAGUGUCAUGAAUCCCUCAAAUCCCAAUGUUUUGUAAAAUUCAUUGUUUGGAUUUGGUUGUGGGCUUUUGCUAUUUAACGAUAGCUAGCCUAAAAGAGAUUAGCUGGACUUUCAACUCUUAAGAUAGUUACCACUUGAUGUGAUAAAAUUACAUUGGUGGGUUAAUGACUAUAGUAAGGAUCGAGAAGUCUGCUUCGAAUCCGGCGCGAGGUUCCAUCCUCAACCCAUUUAAUUUAAAUCUCUGGCCUCAAAUCAGGUAGGAUUACCCGCUGAACUUAAGCAUAUCAAUA